CGGGGGUUGGUUUAAUGGUAGAAUCUACGGUUCGGGACCGUAGGAAGAGAGUUCGAUUCUCUCACCCCCGA
rnacentral:tRNA from 1 species